rnacentral:rRNA from 1 species
UGCAAGUCGAGCGAGAAGACGUAGCAAUUCGUUUGUAAAGCGGCGAACGGGUGAGGAAUACAUGGGUAACCUACCCUAGAGUGGGGAAUAACUAGCCGAAAGGUUAGCUAAUACCGCGUACGCUUCUUGGACUUCGGUUCAGGGAGGAAAGCGCUACCGAGGGUAGCGCGCUCUUGGAUGGGCUCAUGUCCUAUCAGCUUGUUGGUGAGGUAACGGCUCACCAAGGCUUCGACGGGUAGCUGGUCUGAGAGGACGAUCAGCCACACUGGCACUGCGACACGGGCCAGACUCCUACGGGAGGCAGCAGUAAGGAAUAUUGCGCAAUGGGCGAAAGCCUGACGCAGCGACGCCGCGUGGGGGAUGAAGGUCUUCGGAUUGUAAACCCCUUUCGGGAGGGAAGAUGGAAUGGGGUAACCCAUUCGGACGGUACCUCCAGAAGCAGCCACGGCUAACUUCGUGCCAGCAGCCGCGGUAAUACGAAGGUGGCAAGCGUUAUUCGGAUUUACUGGGCGUACAGGGAGCGUAGGCGGUUCGGUAAGCCCUUUGUGAAAUCUCCAGGCUUAACCU